rnacentral:rRNA from 1 species
UACGGAGGGUGCAAGCGUUAUCCGGAUUCACUGGGUUUAAAGGGUGCGUAGGCGGUGAGAUAAGUCAGUCGUGAAAUCUCUUGGCUUAACCAAUGAAAUUGCGAUUGAUACUGUUUUACUUGAAAGAGGUUGAGGUCAGCGGAAUGUGGCAUGUAGCGGUGAAAUGCAUAGAUAUGCCAUAGAACACCGAUUGCGAAGGCAGCUGGCUGGGCCUACUUUGACGCUGAGGCACGAAAGCGUGGGGAGCAAACAGG